rnacentral:rRNA from 1 species
UACGUAGGGUGCAAGCGUUAAUCGGAAUUACUGGGCGUAAAGCGUGUGCAGGCGGCUGCGUAAGUCAGAGGUGAAAUCCCCGGGCUCAACCCGGGAACGGCCUUUGAGACUGCGUGGCUCGAGUGUGUCAGAGGGGGGAGGAACUCCACGUGUAGCAGUGAAAUGCGUAGAGAUGUGGAAGAACACCGAUGGCGAAGGCAACCCCCUGGGAUAACACUGACGCUCAUGCACGAAAGCGUGGGGAGCAAACAGG